rnacentral:lncRNA from 1 species
GGAGAGAUUCCUUCAUCAUUUUGUAAUUUGAGUUCCAUUCAAUAUCUUUACUUAUUCAACAAUAGCUUGAGUGGACAAAUUCCACAGUGUCUUGGAAACUCUACACUUGAAACUUUAGAUCUCGGAAUGAACAACUUCCAAGGUAGCAUCCCACAGACAUAUGCAAAGGGCUGCAACUUGACUUAUCUUCGGCUGAGUGGCAAUCACUUGGAGGGACCAUUACCGCCAUCUUUGAUUAACUGUGUCAAUUUGCAAGUUCUUGAUGUUGGGAAUAACAACUUGAGCGGCCCAAUUCCAGAAUGUCUUGGAAACUCAACACGUUUGUCAUUUCUUGAUGUUGGGAAUAACAACUUGAGCGGCCCAAUUCCAGAAUGUCUUGGAAACUCAACAAGUUUGUCUUUUCUUGAUGUUGGGAAUAACAGCUUGAGCGGCCCAAUUCCGGAAUAUCUUGGAAACUCAACACUUGAAGUCUUGGAUAUGAGAAUGAACAAGUUCAGCGGCAGCCUCCCUCAAACAUUUGGAAAAAGUUGUGUUUUGGUAAGUCUUAAACUUAAUGGAAAUCGGUUGGAAGGACCAUUGCCUCCAUCUUUGGUUAAUUGUCGACAUUUAGAAGUUAUAGAUGUUGGGAACAAUCAGAUUAAUGAGACCUUUCCCCACUGGUUAGACGUUCUUCCCGAAUUGCAUGUACUUACAUUGCGUUCUAAUAGAUUUCGCGGUCCCAUUGGUGAUACCGAAACAAGAGUUCCUUUCCCCAAGUUGCGAAUAAUUGAUCUCUCUUACAAUCGAUUCACCGGUAUUUUGCCAAUAUGGUAUCUGAAUGGUUUUAAAGCCAUGAUGCACGGGGAUGUCAAUAGUAUUGAAGUCAAUUAUAUGAGGUCGUUGAAUUAUUCUUACUAUGAAUCAAUAUCUCUGACUAUGAAAGGCAAUGACAUACAAAUGGAGAGGAUUUUAACCACUUUUGCAACUAUUGAUUUGUCGAGCAACAGAUUUCAAGGGGAAAUAUCAGAAGUGUUGGGAAAGCUUAAUUCACUCAAAAGUCUUAACAUUUCUCACAACAACCUGACAGGUGGUAUUCCAUCGUCGCUAAGAAAUCUAACAGAGCUUGAAUCUCUAGACCUCUCUUCAAACAAGCUUGCUGGACGUAUCCCAACACAACUGGCGAGUCUCAAUUAUCUUUCGGUGUUGAAUCUUUCGAACAACCAGCUCGAGGGACCCAUACCAGGAGGACCCCAAUUUAAUACAUUUGGAAUUGAUUCCUAUUCUGGUAACUUGGGGCUGUGUGGAUUCCCAUUAUCAAAAAGCUGCAGGAUUGAUGAGGCACCAGAACCAACAACACCAACAGGAUUUAUCGAAGGAGACGACGCUUCAAGCUGGUUUGAUUGGAAGCUCGCUAUGUUGGGUUACGCAUCUGGAGUGGUGAUCGGCUUGUCCAUCGGAUACAUGGCAUUUGUGACUGGAAGGCCACAAUGGUUUGUAAGAAUGAUCGAAAGGAAGCAAUCCAGGAAGCUGAGAAGGGUGAUCAGUCGAGGCAGAGCUGGUAGAAGAAGUUUGUUGGUGCAUCUCUAAAGGCCCAGGUGAGUAAUUAUUAGUUUGUCUUUUGGAAUUAUAAGCUGGUUUCUACUGUUCUUUAAGUAGAUAGCAUGCUGAUAUUAUCGUAAUCUAACAGUUGACUUGCAAAAAUCACAAUCCUAAUUAAUUUCAAGUUAUGCUUAUUAUCAACAUCUAUAGUGAGAAACAAAAUGAGGAUAAUGUAUAAGAAAGAAAAUUUUAACUGAAUUAUUGAUGCGAUUGUUUUUACUUUUAUUGCCAUUUCAUUAGAACAUGUAAUCACGGACGUAUGUUUUGAUGGUAAAAUGAUUUGAAGUAAUAUUGUUGCAGGAAAUUGUGCGGGGGUAACUUUGGUUUGUAAUCAUGUACUUCAAAUUUGGGCGUAGAACAUGUUAUUUCAAAGUUUGUGAGCAGACAACGUUGUUUGCCUUUGGCUCAGUGAUAUCAAUUUAAAAACUCAGAGCUUAAUUAAUAACUCUAUUAAGUGUGUGCAUUGCCCUUCUUGGAUUGACAGCACUCAUCCCACACAUCUUCCCAUGCAAGGAUUUCCACUCAUCAAUUAGCAAAAAUUGAAAAACAUUAUAAUUAAAUGUGUGUGUGUACGUAUAUGAUUCAGCAGAGUACUCCUAGUCUUAAGUUGAACAUCAAUAAUUAAUUGAAAAACAUUAUAAGUAGAUGAGAUUACAAAUAUGAUCAAUGUUUAAUAAAAUCCACCAUCAAAAAAUGAAAAAGUCCUAAUUAAUGACUUUCAUUUUUUGAUCCUUCCAAUGAGUGCACAUAUAGCCGUGGAAAAGAAGCUAAAGUAUAUAGUCUGCAAUUUUACAAAACUGGCGACAAAUCAAUGCACCAACUAGACUCCAAAACAAGAUGACGAGUUACAUUUAGUAACAAGACUUGGUGCUGUAAGUCUAAAAGUAUUAUAUUUAUUAUUACUAUUUUUUUUAAAAGUGUUGUAUUUAAUUAGAUUCCCCUGUUUUGGUGUGAGUUAAGGAGAUGGCUACGAUAAGUUUUUUAUUCUCGUAAGGGGGACUUGAAUAAAGUGCUCAUUAUUAAUGGCUUUGAGAAAGAAAGACUUGUUCUAUAUAUCCCUCUUAAUUUGAACAAUCUUUCUUCAGCAACUUCCAACCUUUUUUUAUGCUUGCCAUGGGUUUCGUAGCUGUGGAAAAGAAGUUAAAGUAGUUUGGAAUUUUAUUAAAUUGGCCACAAAUUCAUGCAACUUUCAACCUUUUUUAUGGAUUCCAUUGGUUUCAUAGCAUGGAAAAGACGACAGACAACUAACAUUUCUCUUAUCUAUAUAUCGUAAGUGUUAUAACAUAUAUAUGGAUACCGUUUAUUCCUGUAACUUGUAUAAAACAAUAAUAACAACAACUGGAAUCUAGGCGGCUGCCACAUCACCAUGUAUGACAGACAGCCACAUCACCAUAUAUCAUUUGACCUUUAAUUUGGACUGGUUAGUGGAAAUUAGAAAAACUCGAAUAAUCAAAGUCUACUAAAGACGACAAGAAAGGAAACGAGUAAAAUACAAACAUAGUCUAUCAAUGCUUAUGCUUAAUGUGACGUUGCGUCUUGGCUGUAUUAAUAGAAAUCCUCCUCAUCUGCCAAUAGGCUCGCACCCUGUUGACAGCACUCAUGCUCUCAAAUCUUGAGAGCAAUUAAUUCGUGGGACUCACUUUUUUAUAUCCAUAUAAAUAGAGCAUAUAUCCCUCAAAAAUUUAUGAAAUUAUCCAUCCGACUUUUAAAUUAUACCAUCUCAGAGCUGAUGAGUGACAAGAUGAACAACGUUACUCAUUGCCUUUGAAUAUCCAUCCGACUUUUAGGAAAUUAUACCAUUUCAAGACCCAAAAUUGCAUUUGAAUUUAUUUUAAAUUACAGCCCUGAGGAAACUUCUAAGAUUUGUACUUUUAUUUUCAUAACAAAAUCCUAAGCUACUUCCGUUUGUUGCGUUUUUAAUUAAUUUCAGUUUACACCUUAAUCUUCUCUUAAUUUCUUUUCUUUUUUUUCAAACUCGCCAAUUGCGUUGCAAUGAUGCAAUCAACCCAAUAAGCUUGUUUGACCAGAGGUCUAAAGAUUCAAGUAAUGUUAGAUUUUCCAACAAUAAUGGAGCGCCACCUAUCAAGUUGUUGUGAGACAUUUGAGUGAAUUAAACUUUCCCACUAUUUACGGAAUUUCCCCUUGAAAUUGAUUGCUCAACAAAUGAAUUGACAUGAAAAUGGUUAGAAUCAUCUGUAUUUGUUGGUCUAUUCCUUCCAUGAUCAAACUUAUCAAUUCAUAGUAGGAGUUGAAAUCUUUAAGCCUCAUAAAUUUUGCUUAAUGAUCAACACAAUUGUUAUCUCCAUAUAUCAGGCUUUAAAAUUAUCAAGAUACUGAAUUGGCAAAACACGAGUCAGUUGAUUGUGAGAGCGAUCAAUUAUUUACAGCUUUGAAAUAGGAACUCUUGUUUGGGUAUGACCAAUGGGACUGCAAAUCAGUUAGAUCGUAAUAUAAUUACUUGCAAUUUAGGAAGAAUUUCUAACCAAUGAGAAGAGGUAUCAUUAACAUGAUUGUUCACAAUAUCAAAAAUUUCCAAAUGCUGAUAGUUAACCAAAGAUUGAGGCAAUAGUCCUUCCAACUGAUUGCUAUUAAGGUUAAAACUUAGGAAGUCACAGCUUUUUGCAAACAUUUGAGAAAUGCUGCAAAGAGUUGUAAUUUGAGAAAUCUUUAACCUUAAUGACAAUCAAUUAGAAGGAUUAUUACCUCUCUCUUUGGUUAACUGUUGGCAUUUGGAAGUUUUUGAUAAUAAAAAUGAUCAUGUUAAUAAUAUCUUUCUUUAUUGGUUAGAAAUUAUUCAUAAAUUGUAAGUGCUUAUAUUACGAUCUAACCAAUUUCGUGAUCCCAUUGGUCAUAUUAAAACAAGAGUUCCCUUCCCCAAGUUGGGAAUAAUUGAUCUCUCUCAGAAUUAACUCACUGGUGUUUUGCCAACUCAGUAUCUUGAAAAUUCUAAAGUCAUAAUGCGUGGGGAUAACAAUAAUGUUGAUUUCAACUCUUACUAUGAAUUAAUAAUUUUGACCAUAGAAGGAACCGACCAACAAAUGGAGAGGAUUCUAAUCAUUUUCAUGCCAAUUGAUUUGUCGAACAAUCAAUUUCGAGGAAAAUUUUAGAAGUGGUGAGAUAAAUUAAUUCACUUAAAUGUCUUAACAUUUUUCACAACAAGCUGACAAGUUGCAUUCCAUCAUUGUUGGGAAAUCUGUCAGAGCUUGAACGUUUUGACUUCUUCUCAAACAAGCUUAUUGGGCUGAUUCCAAUGCGAUUGGCGAGUCUGAAAUUUCUUUUCUUGCUAAAUUUUUUGUACAGCCAGCUUGAGGGACAUAAACCUCAAGGACCUCAAUUAACUACAUUUUCAAACGAUUUUUAUACUGUAAACUUGAGGUUGUGUGGUUUUCAUUAUCACAAAGCUAACAUUGAGACAUUAGAAUUGUUACUAACAAGAUUGGAUAAAAGAGAUAGUAAUUCGAGCUGGUUUGAUUGGAAGUUCGCUAAGAUGACCAAUGAACCUGGUGGCCUAUGGCAUGACACAUGUACAACACAUGGCAUAAUACAGGCAGAGUUUCAGUAGGGCACCAGAACGACAUGUGUCCGUACAACACGGUAUGAGCACAUUUUGAUAGGGCAUGUGGCACGACAUUACAUGGCACGUACGCGGGUUGAGCUAGGCUGGAUUAAUAAUUUUAGGUACAUGUGCUUAACAAGCACAAUACGAUUAGAGAUAGUAUAAAACACAACACAUGAAAAGGUCCGCAAUAAGAACGUUUAUCUGUUGGGCUAGCAUACGGCUUGCAGACCAUCAAUAACAUGUGGGCCAAUACAUAUUUUAGUAUUUUUUUUUUAUGAAAGUAAAAUUGAAAUUUUAUGAUUUUACAAAUAAUUUAAAUUUGAAUCUUUUUAUCUAUUUCAUUAGCAUAGUUUUUUAAAAAUUCAUUUAAUUCUUAGUUUUAAAAAAAUACUCUAAUUGUUUUACAUUUAUAAUUUACUAAAUGAAUAGAUGAUCAUGAUUUUAAAAAAUAAAAUUAUAAAUAUCAUGAUUUCAUAAAUGUAUGCAGUAAUGUGAUUAUUGAUACGAAAAUAUAGAUCAGCAAUAAGAGUUGAAAAAAAAUUAUUUACUUAGGGAACAAGUUGAGAGAGUUUGAUAUACUCAUAAUUGCCAUUAUUGAGAGUGAAAAGCUUGAUAAUCGGAAUUUUUUAAAACAAUAAGCCAUCAGGAUUCGCUUGGGGGUGUUAUCGUUGUAGACCCUCCGAUACUUAAGUUAAAGAUUAAAAAUAACAUGAUAAUAAAUAAAUAAUAAGAGAAAAAAGAGAAUAAGAGAAUAAAUAUUGUCAUACAAUAUACAUAUUUCGCAUGUAUCUUUAUAUGUAUACACACACACAGAGACACACACCUUUGAGUGAUGAUCUCUUUAUAUAAGAGUGCUAAUAAUAAAAAGUGUUUAAAUUUUAAAUUAUAAAUACCAUGUAAAUAUUGAAUUAAAAAAUAAAAUUAUAAAUACCAUGUAAUAGCAUUGCAGUUUCGUUGGCCAUCGCCUUGAAUUUAAAUUUUAAAAGAACCAAAGAAACAUAGUAAAUGUAAAAAUAACAUAAAAUAACAAAGCUUGAAGAAGUUUACUUCUUUACUUCUUGCAUUUUCAAACUCUACUAUUUUAGGGCUCAAAAUCACUUUCUAUUCUGCAUUUUAUAAAACUAGAAAUUAAAAAUACAAAAUUCUAUGGGAAUGUCGUGUGAUGCGUGGACACUGGGUAGAUAUUCACUGUUUAUAUCUCAGUGCCUUUUUCCUCACCCCUUAUGAGUAAGCUUUGAAUUAGGUACCCAAUUUGUCCAAGAGUUAGCGAGCCAAUGAUCACUCAUUCACUCUAAUUAGAUAUUUAGUGGAUGAAAAUUGAUUGGACGUAAAAGAAAAUGCAGAUGAAUAAUCGAAAUAACUUUCAAGUCCAAAAAAGCUUUGACUUACUUGAUGAUGUCUUGUUAUGAUCACCAAAUGGCUCAGUCUGUGCCGCGUCAACAUGUGAAAACUCAUCCACGUCACCAGCCUCAGCGCUCUCGCCACGUCAUCACUCAAGCGGUUGUAACUGAUGAUAAUUUGGAUAAGAAAAACAGUUGAAUUGGGUCUCUUUUCAACGGGAGAGCACCAAAGACAGAGAAACCAAAAUGGCGCGAGCUUUGCUUCGUUUGAAUAGCACGGCCACGGUCAUAAUGGCCAGUGCUACAAGUGCUACUAAAGAGACAGUUCUUGACGGAGCUCACUUUCAAAUGAAGAACCGAAAUGCCCGCGUUUUGGUACUUGGAGGUACGGGUCGGGUCGGUGCAUCCACUGCAGUUGCUCUCUCGAAGCUCUACCCCGACCUUCAGAUUGUAGUUGGCUCUCGAAACAGGUUAAAUAAUUAAUACCCUUUUCUUUCUUCUGUUUGGUUACCAAAAAAAGCAAGAAAUAAAGGAGGGAAAAUUUUCAAGCUUUGUUAUUUUUUAAUUUUUUUUGCGUUUACUAUGUUUCUUUGGUUAUUUUAAAAUUUAAAAUUCAAGGUGAUGGCUACUGGUAAACUGCAAUGCUUUUACAUGGUUCUGAAAGCACAUUUCUAAACAGUCACUCAACGACAAGUGAUUAUCAUGUCCCACAGUUGUAGAUUAGGGCUCCAAUUGGUAGUGAUGUUGUGCGGUCGUGGCUUGUUAAGACACAUCUACUCUUAAAUGAGAGCUGCUGUGAAACGAGAGCUCUAGUUAUGAAAUAAAAGUUCAUAGUGUCUGGUAAAUGCUACCUUAAAAUAAUCAUUUUGACAAAAAUAGUAAAGCUAAUAUAGGUCAGGCAAUUGUGGGUAAAAUCGUCAUAAUUUUCAAACUGUGAUUGUGAGUGUUUACCAAAUACUUUAAAGUUGUGAUUAGAUGGUAAUAAAAAAAGAGAACCUAAACAGUCCAUAAUAAUAUUGCCAAUGAGGCAAAAAUUGUAAUUCUCUCUCUUUUUGGUUUUCCUAAACAUUUGAAAGGCUGUUUUUGUUGAUUGAUAUGCUUUGACUGUGGUAUGUUAAUAUUUAGAAUGCUGUCAAACAUGCUAGUUCUUGGAUGGAACUAUGGGGACAUGGAGUUGUAAAUUCAAGUAGUUAUGGCUGGAAUAUUUCCUAAUUUACAGUGUUGCUGAGAAAAUUUUGCAUACCGCCAGGGAAAAAGGUGCUGCAAUGGUCUCUACAUUGGGGAAGAAUUCUGAAUUUGCUGAAGUUAACAUUUACAAUGAAGGCUCAUUAUUAAUGGCUUUAAGAGGUGAGAUCAUUCCUCACUGACUAGAUGUAUCUUCUAUUGUUCCACAUCAAUAAUUCUUUUUCUUCUAGAGUCGAAGUAAAGGGAUUUUUUUUUUAUUUUGCAGCGGAUAUUUCGUUAUUGACAAUAUUUUGAUGAUAUUUUAGUCUGUAUGUUAAAUGCUGUAACUUUGCUUCGUCAGAUGUGGAUCUUGUGGUUCAUGCAGCAGGACCUUUUCAACAGGCACCGAAAUGCACUGUAUUGGAAGCUGCCAUAGAGACCAAGGUGAGGAAAGGUAAAUGUUGUGUUUGAAUAUCUCUUUUCCAAGUCCAGUUUUCUAUGUUUUGUAUAUGUGAUAAUUGAAGCAUGUAUACAACUUUACUAUGUACCCAAGAUGUAAACUUAUGUGUUCUUUUUUGUGUCUCCUAACAGACAGCAUACAUUGAUGUUUGUGAUGAUACCAUCUACUCCCAGCGUGCAAAAUCCUUCAAGGACAGAGCAAUAGCUGCAAACAUUCCAGCCAUAACCACUGGAGGAAUCUAUCCAGGAGUGAGCAAUGGUGCUUUUAUGAACAUGAACAUUCUUGUCCUGCUAUCCGCACUUCUAGCACUGUAAAUGAUACGAUUAAGUGAAGAAUAAGGAUAGAGUACUAAUUCUUUAAUUGAAACAUGUGCAGACUACCAAUUCUUGCUUUAGAGCUAAAACUUAAUUGUUGGUAAACUCAUCGACCUGGCUCCAAAGUUCUUAUAUAUGGGUGCACAUAUUGGUUUGACAGAUAGCUUUAGUGACUUUAUAUCAUUAACUUGAGUAUUGCAACUAAGAUAAAGCUCAAAGCUUUCUUUGACAAAGUCUUCAAAAUCUUGAGCUACUUGCACGACAUAAUGAUUUGAAGAAAUAAUAAUGUUGAUGUAGGAAAUGGUGUGGGCAACUUUUAUUUGUUUGUCUUGGGCCAGUAUGUUGGAUUUGGAAAUAUUGGAAGCUUGCAACGAUACAAGAAUCAUUCACCGCCUGCAGACAGCUAUGAUCCAUAUAUGCGAUUUUUGCCAUGUUUAUUUUUCAUAAGAAAUUCAAAUGCUACUUCAGAUUCUAUUAAUAAAUCCCGAAUUCUUGUACAUCCAAAUUUCAUUGUUUCAUGAUUUAUCAUAAUCCAAUAAAGUCUUGAAUGCUUGUACCAAUUCAAAGGUUAGUUGUGGAUCAACAAAAAGAAAUAAAAUGUAUGGGGCUGGACACAUGUCCUAUAUAUAUAUACCAGUUAAUUUUUUUGCCAAGAUAUCUCCACUGUUGGUUAUCUGCUUGAGUCUGAAGCAAUUGUCAACAUUAUAUUGUCUCCAAUAAAUACCUUGAUUGCAUAAAUCAAGCACUUGAUUACUAGCGUAAUCUUGGGGCUAGCUGUAUACUUAUUGUAAAAUACCCAAAUUAUUGGGAUUGAUUAUUCUACUUACCUUGUACAGAAUUAUUUUACAACUAUAAGAACUGGUAUGUCUCAACAAAUUGGGAGAACCUUUUUUCCAAAAAUUAUUUGUCUCUUUUGUUCUCUUUUAUUUGAUAUGGUAUCAGAGCUAUGCAUGUAUAAGAGAAAAUCUUGAAAUUUCUUAUAACAUCAUAGCAAGUUGUUGUGUUGUUCGCGGAUAGAGAUAUCAACUUUCAUUCGUGGAAAUUGAGAUCUUAUUGUUGCAAUCUUGAUUGAGAGUUUGAAUCGUGUCGGUGGGACAUCUUGGGUAAGUGAACAUUUUCUUUAUUCUAGUGUUUAAAAUGUCACAAUCAGAAACCUUGGGUAUCAAAUUAGAUGGGAAAAACUAUUUCUCUUGGGAAUUUCAAUUUCGCAUGUUUGUGAAAGGAAAAGACUUGUGGGGUUAUGUUGAUGGGUCUGAUUCUAGGCCACAAGAAGGAACUGAUAGUGUGAAAAUAAAGGAAUGGGAUUCAAAUAAUGCUAAAAUAAUUAGUUGGAUUUUGAGCUCUGUUGAUGCUCGUAUUGUUCUUAGUUUGAGGCCUUUUCGUUGUUCUAAGGAUAUGUGGAAUUAUUUAAAAAAAAUUUACAAUCAAGAAAACUCUGCUAGAUGUUUUCAACUUGAAUUAGAGCUGUCUGAAUAUAGUCAAGGGAACUUGUCAAUACAAGAUUAUUAUUCUGGUUUUUUAAAUCUAUGGGCUGAAUACCAAGAAUUGGUUUAUGCUACUGUUUCACAAGAGGGGCUGUCUACUUUGCAACAAGUGCAUGAAGUGUCUAAACGAGAUCAGUUUCUUAUGAAAUUAAGGCGUGAUUUUGAACCUAUUCGUGCCAAUCUAAUGUCCAGAAUUCCUUCUCCAUCUUUGGAUAUAUGUCUUGCUGAACUUCUUCGUGAAGAACAACGAUGUAUAACUCAAUCUGUUCUUGAAAUAAAGAAUAAUCAGGUAUCUAAUCCAAUGGAGGUGGCAUUUGCAUCGCAAGCACAUGCAAGGGACAUGAGCAAAGUGCAAUGCUAUAGUUGCAAAGAAUUUGGACAUAUAGCCAAACAAUGCAAAAAGAAAUUUUGUAACUAUUGCAAGAAACCUGGACAUGUGAUUGAUGAAUGUCGACGACGGCCUCAAAAUAAAAAUCCUCAAGCCUUGCAAACUACUAGCUCAAAUUCACAUUCAGAACCUAGUUCCACAAGCCUUACUCCUGAAGUGGUACAACAGAUGAUUUUUUCAGCAUUAUCAGCUCUUGGUGUUUCAGGUAAAAAUGCUUCUUCAUCUCAUUGUUACAUUGAUUCUGGUGCUUCCAACCAUAUGACACCUUCAUCCACAUCUCUUGUCAAUGUGAAACCAUCCUUGGGAAAUUUAGAAAUUCAAACAGCAAAUGGAGAAAGUGUUCCUGUUAAAUCAAUUGGUGAUAUUCCACAUACUUUGCCUUUAACUAAUGUAUUUCAUGUGCCUUGUUUAACUUCGAGUCUUAUUUCUGUUGGGCAAUUGGUUGAAGAUAAUUGUACAGUUUUUUUUUCAAAAUCUGGUUGUAUUGUACAGGAUCAAGAAACGGGGAAAGUGAUCGGGAAGGGACCUAAAUGUGGAAGACUGUUUACUCUAAGCUUGCCUGGCUAUCUCAAGAAUAAAGCCUUGUUCUCUUCACAUUAUUCUACUUUCAUUUCUCUUUUUCAAUUGUGGCAUAAACGUUUGGGUCAUCCAAAUACCAAAACUUUGUUAUCGUUGAUAAAGAGUCGAUUGAUUUCUAAUAAAGAUUUUGUUAAUUCUUCAGAUGUGGUAUUUAAUUGUGAUAGCUGUAAACUUGGUAAAAGUAAAACACUGCCUUUUCCAGUACAUCAAAAUAAUGUAAAAAGUUGUUUUGAUUUGAUUCAUACAGAUGUUUGGGGACCAUCUCCUUUUCCUUCUCAUUCUCGUAAGAAAUAUUUUGUUUCCUUCAUUGAUGACUAUAGCCGUCACACAUGGAUUUAUUUUUUACAUAAUAAAUCUGAUGUAUUUGAUGCCUUUAAACGUUUUCUUGCAUAUACAAAAAAUCAAUUUUCCACUUCUAUCAAAAUCUUAAGAUCUGAUUCUGGAGGGGAAUACAUGUCUAAUGAUUUUCAAAAUUUUCUUCAAAAUGAAGGAAUAAUAUCUCAAAAAACUUGCCCAGACACUCCUCAGCAAAAUGGAAUAGCUGAAAGAAAAAAUCGACAUCUUUUGGAUGUUACUCGUGCUUUGCUUCUUGAUGCAUCUGUACCUUCUCAUUUUUGGGUGGAAGCCUUGUCUACAGCUGCAAACUUGAUUAAUUGUAUGCCAUCAUUUAACCUUUAUAAUGAGUCUCCAUAUUUCCGUUUGCAUAAUAAACAUCCUGAUUAUACUCAAUUACGUGUUUUUGGCUGUCUUUGUUAUUGUCAUCUUCCUGCAUCAGAUAGAAAUAAAUUGACUGCACAAUCUGCAAGAUGUGCAUUUCUUGGGUACGCAUCUGAUCGCAAAGGUUUCCUUUGUUAUGAUCCCAAAGCUCGUCGUACUCGCAUAUCUCGGAAUGUUAUUUUUGUUGAAAAUAUUUAUUUUUUUCAAAAUACCCAUGUCACUACUUCUUUAUCUCCAUGUUCUAAUCUUCAUGACUUUGAUAGUGAUAUUCCUAACAAGGCAAGGUUUAAUCUUGGGAUAGAAAGUGAGCAACGAGACAAAACUAACAGUGAAGAAACAGAGGGUCCUCAGCGAGAAUCUUCCUUAUCUCUUGAUCCAAGCCCUGAAACACAUGAUCCAAGUCUUGAAACACAUGAGUCAAACACAAUAUCCGCUGCACCUCCAUUACGAAGAUCUAGUAGACAAAUCAAACCACCUGACCGCUUGUCUCUUGUGGCCACAUUGUCACCUAUGAGUAUUCCAAACUCUUAUUCCCAAGCCAAACAAUAUUCACAUUGGCAGGUUGCAAUGGAUGAAGAGCUAGAAGCGUUAAGAAGAAAUCAUACAUGGGAUAUUGUCUCUUGUCCCGCUGGUUGUACACCAAUCGGGUGCAAAUGGGUUUACUCUAUCAAACAAAAAGCUGAUGGUUCUUUGGAUCGUUAUAAAGCUCGUUUGGUUGCUCUUGGGAAUUGGCAAGAAUAUGGUAUAAACUAUCAUGAGACUUUUGCUCCAGUGGCCAAAAUGACCACAGUUCGCAUUUUGUUAGCGAUUGCGGGUUCACAAGCAUGGCCUCUUUUUCAAAUGGAUGUAAAAAAUGCAUUCUUGCAUGGAGAUCUACAAGAAGAAGUCUACAUGAAGCUUCCGCCUGGAGUAAGCUCUAAUUCAAAAGCUCAAGUAUGUCGUCUACGACGUUCUCUUUAUGGGCUUAAACAAGCACCACGUUCAUGGUUUACAAAGUUUGGUCAAAUACUGCAUCAGUUGGGUUUUCACCAGAGCUCUAAUGAUCCUUCUAUGUUUAUUCGACGUUCAGCUGCUAGUAUCAUUAUUCUUCUUGUUUAUGUAGAUGAUAUAAUUAUUACGGGGACUGACACAUUUGGUAUCCAGCAAUUUAAGGAGUCUUUGCAUUCAUAUUUUCAAAUGAAAGAUCUUGGCAAUCUCACUUAUUUUCUUGGCCUUGAGGUAUAUCAUUCAAGUGAAGGCAUCUACGUCCAUCAGCAUAAAUACACAAAAGAUUUAAUUGCUUUGGCAAGACUUGAAGAUUCAACGGUCAUAAACACUCCACUUGAGAUCAAUGUUAAAUAUUCGAAAGAUGAUGGUGACUUGCUUUCUGAUCCUACACUAUAUCGGAAACUAGUUGGGAGUUUGAUUUAUUUGACGAUUACCCGACCAGACAUCUCUUAUGCAGUGAACUUAAUGAGCCAAUUUAUGCAUGAGCCUCGACAUUUACAUCUUUCAGCAGUUAAAAGAAUAAUCCGUUAUUUGCUUGGGACUCCUAAUCGUGGACUAUUUUACAAGGCUAGCUCCCCUCUUGUUCUCAAAGCUUAUAGUGAUGCUGAUUGGGCUGGGUGUUCAGACUCUCGUCAAUCAACUACAGGUUGGUGUAUGUAUCUUGGUGACAGUCUUGUCUCUUGGAAAUGCAAAAAACAAGAGAGGGUGUCUAAAUCCUCUACUGAAGCCGAGUAUAGAGCUAUGUCGGGUGCUUGUUCUGAAAUCGUAUGGCUACGACGACUUGUAUCUGAAUUGGGUUUUCCUCAAGCGUCUCCAACGCUAUUGCAUGCUGAUAACAAGAGUGCCAUACAAAUUGCUGAAAAUCCUGUAUUUCAUGAAAGAACUAAACAUAUUGAGGUUGACUGCCACUAUAUUCGAGAUGCUUAUGCUGAUGGUACCAUUCAAUUACCUCAUGUGUCCACAACAUUUCAAAUUGCAGAUAUAUUUACAAAGUCCCUGACCAAGAUACGGCAUCAGUUCUUGGUUGGCAAAUUGAAGCUUGUUGAUUCACCAGCAUCAAUUUGAGGGAGGCUGUCAACAUUAUAUUGUCUCCAAUAAAUACCUUGAUUGCAUAAAUCAAGCACUUGAUUACUAGCGUAAUCUUGGGGCUAGCUGUAUACUUAUUGUAAAAUACCCAAAUUAUUGGGAUUGAUUAUUCUACUUACCUUGUACAGAAUUAUUUUACAACUAUAAGAACUGGUAUGUCUCAACAAAUUGGGAGAACCUUUUUUCCAAAAAUUAUUUGUCUCUUUUGUUCUCUUUUAUUUGAUAGCAAUAACAGAAAAAAAAUAGAAAAGAAAACAAUGACUAAUAUGACUAGUUAUUAUUAAAUUAGUCGUUAAAUAGUUAUUUAUUCUUAUUACGAUAAUUGAGGCAAUAAAUUGCACAUUCUUGUUUAAUUUUGAGUUCUUCAUUGAUAACGUUCAAAUUUUUAUUUUUUAUUUGAUUUUUUUUCCUAAUUUUAGGGGGGAGAAAAGGUAAAGAAUGAGAGAUUAUUUAAUAAAUUAAAUUUAGAGCACAAGCACAGAAGCAUUAAGCUCCUGCUAAACUGUUGUUCGACUUGCAAGUUUUUGGAUCAAAUAAUAAAGUUUGUGCCUUGAGAAGUUAGCUCAUGGCUGGAAUGUUAUUUCUAAUCUAGAGCUAGCGUCCUGAGACAACAGAAGUUAACAUUAACAAUAGAAGACUCAAUUGGUAGACAUUAUUCUUUUACACUAAAUACACAAUUGAGUUCACAGCUAUUCAAAAAAUGGGGCAGUUUUUUAUUUAAUUACAAAAUUACCCUUAUUGAAACCCAUAUAAGAGUAUUUAUAUUAAUUAGUUAUAUUGCUUCUUCAACUAUCAUCAAAUUCUUAUUCGAGUUCAUCAUUUAAGGAAUAAAUGUGUACUAAAUAAUCUCAAAUGAUGUACUAAGCAAAUAUUUUGAGAAAUAAGACUCAUUAUGGCUCCUUUCAUUAGUUGUAUCUUUAAUUUCUUAUUAAUGAAAUUCUCUCGCAUUGCCCAAAAAAAUAUUGUUAGCGUCACCAUUGAAAGGGGCCAAAUUAUGUAUUGUCUGACUAGUGAAACUCUUAUCAUAUCUGCUAAUACGUAUCAGGAAAAUUAUAUUGUUGCAGGAAAAUAGAUUUUCCAAAAAUCUGUCCUUUGGCCGACCGAUCCUAUAUGAUCCUUGUUCAAAUUGGCCCCGUGUGUGGCACGUCAACAUGUCAAAACUCGGCCACGUCAUCAACUUCGCAAAAUUCUCGCCACAUCAUCACUGAACUGGUUACGACGGAUGAUAAUUUGGACAAGCAAAACAGUUGAUAAUUACAAAGAGGGAACACUAAAGGCAGACCAAAGUGGCGCGAGCUUCGCUUAUUUGUACCAAGUAAAUGAAUUUUAGCUGAAAAAAAAGUAGGCCCAUAAUUAUAAAGCAAUGGCCCAGUACUAUACACGUCAUUACAAAAAAAAAAAAAAAAUCGAAACAGAGCUCAAUUUCAAACGAAGAUCCAAAACGCCAGCAUUUUGGUGCAGCCGUUGCUCAGAGUUUUUUCUUUUUAUAUGCCGAAGAAGUGCUUAUUUUCCAAAUAUAUAUCCCUUCUUUCCAUUUAUUCACUUAUAUACGACAAAUUCACCUGCAUAAAGAUUGAAAUACUCUCAUUUGUGAAUUACAAGUUGCAAAUUUUCUAUUUCAAGAUGAAGUUCAUUUACCUGUUCUUUACCAUCUUCAAAAUUUUCCUCUCAUUUUUAUUUCACUUUCUCAACUUCAAAAUUUACCUGCAUAAAGAUUUCUGAUUUCGAAUUAGAAUUGUGAUUCUUCACUUUCUGAUCCUUCCUAUGAGUUUCAUGGCUGCGGAAAAUGUAGAAGUACUAGUUUGAGAUUUUAUAAAUUGUUCAAAAAACCUCUGUCCAAUAGAUUAUAAGGAUAAGCAACAAGACUUGGUGCUCAAAAGUCUAAAAGUAUUAUAAAGACUUGGUAACUCUCUUAUUCACCUGCAUGGCAUAUCUGUUCUUGUGCCUUCAAUAAGAAAAAAGAUAGUAUGGAUUAUUUAACUCAGCCUUUUCAACUUUUGAUUUGCCUCCAGUUAUUGCUCUUAUAUCUUCAGUGGACUUGACUGAAAUGCUCAUUAAUGACUAGAAAAAAUUAUCUUAACUUAUAAGGUGGACUUGACUGAAAUGCUAAUUAAUGACUUUGAGAAAGAAAGACUUGUCAAGUUUUUCUAUACAUACCUCUUAAUUUGGACAUAUCUUAGGUCACUAACUUUCAACUUUUCUGAUCCUUCCCAUGAGUUUCACUAUCAUAGCCGUGGAAAAGAAGUUUGGAGUUUUACAAAAUUGGGAAAAAAUAUUAAUUAAGAUUACUGCUCCGCAAUUCAUGCAAUUGACCAGGAGAAAAGAUCACUUUAGAGCCUUAUAGGGGGAAGGGAUUGAAGGAAAGAUGCCUUUCUAUUUUAAGUUCAGUAGUAAGAAAGAGCAGGCAACUUGGCAUAAGUUUUCAGCUUAAGUUCAUACAGUUGACCAGUUACAUACAUAUAUGAUGACUUAAAAUAUCUGAGAGUUCGGGUUUCUUUUAGUAUAAACGCAUCUGCUUUUGGACAGGUUCGUGGAAAAACUAGAAUAUGUUUUUGAUUUGGUAAAUUAUGUAUUGUUUUGACCAGUUACAUACAUAUAUGAUAACUAAUGGAAGGUCUAACAACUUAGCUUAACAAACUGUAACAGAAUCAAAACAGGGGAGGGAAGAUGAAUUGUGUUUGUGUAAAUGACUGUUAGUCUAGUUAGCUGUUACGCCGGCAAAUAUGAUAACGAACAUCUCGCCGAACUUAAGUAAAUAUCUAAAUGGUUAUUAAUUGGAUACAGCUUCAGCUUUUGGACUGGUUUAUGGAAAUUGAAAAAAUUUGACAAGUGUUCCUCUUGAAGAAUCAAAGUCUACUUUAUACGUGAAGAAAGGGGAUCCCAGUAAAGAUAAUCCAUCAAUGUUCAGUUACAUUCGAGCGUGUUGACUACUUUUAGGAUGAAAGACUUCUAUUGUCCCAAGGAGUUUUACGAGGUCCAUACACAGAGCUGCAAACAGCGUAAGUUACACUCCCCUUAUGCAACAUUCAAAUGAAAUCCAUACAAUCAUGCAAGUCAAAUCAAUACAUACUGAAUAGCUUACCUCAGAAUCUUCACCUGCUGACGCGAGAAUGUUUAGAACCUUUGAGGAUGCAAGGCCAGUUACACUCCCCUUAUGAACAAAUUCAGUGGCAGCCUUCCUCAAACAUUUGCAAAAAGUUGUGUCUUGACAAGUCUUAACCUCAAUGGUAAUUGGUUGGAAGGACCGAUGCCUCCAUCUUUGGUUAACUAUCGGCAUUAUAAGCUGGUUUAUGUAUUGUUCAUGGAGUAGAUAACCAGCUGAUAUGUUUCAUAUUCUAACAGUUGAUAUACAAAAAUCCCAAUUCAAAUUAUGUUUAUAAUCAGCGUCUAUAGUCUAUAGAGAGAAAGAAAAUGAGGGUCAUACAUAAGAAAUCAAUGAUAGGACGUGUUCUCUUGAUCAGGAAUUUUAGACUUUUGGAAGCUAGUAGUGGAAGUCAAAUAAUCUCCAGGUACCAAAAUAUGUUUUGCUUUCAUUUCCAUUGCAUAAGAACAUGAUAUCACACACUUAUAUUUUGAUGGUUAACUUGAUCAAAAUUUUCAGGAAAAAGUUAUUUAAAAAUAAUUUUGAUGUAGGAAUGAUUUGGGGUGAAAUUCAUUUGGUGCCAUUUAGGCCACAUUUUUUCAAUUGGGCGUAUGGUAUAUACUUUUUCAAAGCUGGUGACAAGAUGAACAAUGUUGCCCAUUUGCCUUUGAGUCUGAUGCCCGUGGGGCUUUUACGAAAUUGUACAAUUUCAGGACUCAAAAUCCCAUUUGAAGUUAUUUCAAAUUCCAGCACUUCGGGAAAUUUCUAAGAUUUGUACUUUACUACUUUUAUUUUCAUAACCAAUUCUUAUUUUCUUAGCACUUUUUGGAGAACAUACAACUGAAAUCAUUUUUACCUAAUAACCUAGCAAAAAGCUACUACAUAUCACAAUGUUGACCUCUGGGCUAAUCAAGCAUUUGACUUUCCUAAUACAAUUUAUCACAAAACGAUUAUCCCUUUUCAUAUUUUAAGUUCAAUAAUAAGAAAGAGGAGGCACCUUCCAAAUGUAUGCACCUUUUUUAGUUUUAUCCCACAAAACUUUAUCACAAAACAAUGGCCUUUUCAUAUUUUGAGUUAUUGCUCAAUCCCUUUACAAAAAAUUAUGCACAUUUACUAGGGAUAGAAAAUUGAAAAGAAAAUUUUCGAUAAGAAAACAGCUGAAUAAUCGAAUUUCGAGUCUUUGGUGGACGUUAUUCUUUUAUACAAAAUAUAUCUUUGAGUUAAACAAUUAUUAAAACAUUGGGGCUAGUUUUUCAUUUAACUACAAAAUUACUUUUUUUGAAACCCAUAAAACCAUUUUUAAGUGGUAAAUUAGUUCUAUCACGUCUUCAACUAUUGCCAAAUUCUUAUUUGAGUUCACCAUUUUACUAGUAAAUGCGUUAUCUAAAUAAUUUCAAAUGAUGUAUUAAAUAAAUAUUUUGAGGAACAAGACUCAUUAUGUCUCCUCUCAUUAGUUGUAUUUUUAAUUUCUUUUUAAAAGAUUCUCUCAUAAUCAAUUAAAAAAAUUCAGCCACCCAAAAAAAAAAAAAGUAUUUAGCUUCGCGGCGGAAUGGGGGCUAAAUUGUGUAUUGUUUAACUGGUGAAACUCUUACCACAUCGACUAAUAUGCUGCUUUUGCUAGUGGCAGUGGUGGCAACAGAGCUUGCUCAUAUUGGUAGAAGUGAAAGCAAAGGAGAGACAGAGAGACUAAUUAAGGUUUAUUAUGGUGAAGUCCUGGGUCAGUCGCUUUUGCUGAAAUGAUUGCAAGUAAUCUCCCACUAUGACUGCCAUUUUUAUCUUAUUUAAGUUUCGGUGAAGCCCAUUCACAUAAAAUAAUUGGCAGGAAGUGUUAAGGAGAAAAGAUCGUCCUAAUUCAAUGUCUGGGGGUGCUGCAAUCACUUUUUAUUACUAAAUAUUUUUAAAUUGGAAUAAUGUAUUAACAGAAUAAAAAAUUUCAUAAUCUAACAAUUGAUUUACAACAACCCGAGUCCUGAUUAAAUUCAAAUAAUAAUUAUAAUCAACAUCUAUAGGAAAAUUGAAAACGAGAAUCAUAUGUAAAAAGAAAUCAUUUCGUAUGCCCAUUACCAUAUUAUAUUUGUACAUUAGAAAUUAAUAUAAAAUAAUAAUUUAAUAAUUAAUUUAAUAUAAUUAAUAAUAAAGCAGUAAUAAAUUUAAACAAUAUUAAUACAAAAUUAAUAAAGUAUAAUCUAACAUUAAAUACUAUACAAUAUUAUUAUAAUAAAAUACUAAUUCAAUACCACAUAAAGUAAUAUACUUGCAUUAUUUGGAACUGGCAUAAAGUAAAAUUAAUAAAGUAUAUCAACGCACAUGGAAAAUGCGACUUUUGAAGAAUGCAGUAAAUGGAAGGUUAAAUAGACUUCGUGCAUGCUGUAAAUUUAAAUGAAUCAUAAUUAAUUUCAAAAGGUAGUAAAUGGAAGGCCGAACAACUUUUUUAACAAACUGAAACAGAAUUAAAUCAAUUGUGCUUUGUGCAUAAUGUAUAUGACUGACUAACUAACUAACUACGAGUUUAGCUGCCUGCCACAUCAGCAUUAUAUAACACAUAACUAAUAUCAUUCCGCGUCGAGCAUGUCGUCAAGAUCCCCCUCUUGAAAGGAUUCCACUUACCACCUAAAUUCCAAAGCAAGAAGACUUGGUGCUGUAAGUCAAUAAAUAUUAUAUUAUUAAUUAAUUACACACCAUAUUCAACUUCUAUAAAUAGUCAUUAUAUCUCUCUCUCUUCUUGUGAUUUCAUCAUCCAGAAAAGAAAAAGAAAAAGAAAAAGAAAAUGGGUUAUAUCACUCAGCCUUAUCAACUUUUUAUUUGCCUCCAGUUAUUGCUCUUCUAUUCUCAGUGUUCAGCAAUACUUUGCUCUCACCACCAAAGUUCUGCUUUACUCCAAUUUAAGCACCUCUUUUCCUUUGAAAAACAUUCUUCAUGGUUUUGUGAAACAUUUCAACUACAAAUAUCUCGUCCAAAGAUGAUGUCUUGGAAAGAGGACUCUGAUUGCUGCUCCUGGGAUGGAGUAGCAUGUGAUUCGGCGACGGGUCACGUGAUUGGCCUCGACCUCAGUUGCAGUUGGCUUCACGGCAACAUCCCUUCCAACAGUAGCCUUUCCUUGCUUCCUCGCCUGCGAAAGCUCAACCUGGCUUUCAAUGAUUUCAAUGGCUCUAAGAUUUCUUCUGGUUUUACUAAUCAAUUUCCGAGCUUGACACUCCUUAACCUCUCUUGGAGCAAUUUCUCAGGGUCAAUUCCUACGUCACUAGGUAACAAUAUUACACAACUUGCUUAUUUGGAUCUCUCACAAAACAGUUUUACUGGUUAGAUUCCAUCAUCUUUUUCAAAUCUCCACCAGCUUCGUCAUUUAGAUCUUCGGUCCAGUAACAUUGUUGGUAAAAUUCCUGCAUCAUUAGGUAACAAUAUUACACAACUUGCUUAUUUGGAUCUCUCACAAAACAGUUUUACUGGUCAGAUUCCAUCAUCUUUUUCAAAUCUCCACCAGCUUCGUCAUUUAGAUCUUCGGUACAGUCACUUUGUUGGUGAAAUUCCGGAUAUUUUUACCAACCUAACCCAACUUUCUGAUUUAGACCUGUAUGGGAAUCAACUGACUGGCUCGAUUCCAAGUUCAAUAUUUGAACUUUUGAAUUUGACAUUUUUCUCUCUUUCUUUUAGCAAUUUCAGUGGCAGCGUUGAGCUUUACGAUUUUGCAAAGUUAAAAAAUCUUAACUAUCUUUUUCUUUCUAAUAUUAGUUUAUCAGUGAGCACCAAAUUAACAGUCAACUCGUCUUUCCCUAAUCUUCUGGGGUUGGGUUUACCGGCUUGCAAUAUAAGUGAGUUUCCAGGCAUCUUGAGAACUCAUCAUCAGUUAGAGUGGUUGGACCUUUCUAGAAACCAAAUCCGUGGUAGGAUUCCCAGUUGGAUGUGGGAGAUCGGAGUACAUACUUUGUAUGUCCUAGAUCUUUCACGAAACUUCCUGACAAGCAUAGACCAUCUUCCGUGGAAAAAUCUCCAAUAUCUUACCCUUGAUUCGAACCUACUUCAAGGAUCACUUCCAGAUCUACCACCUCACAUGGUACGGCUUUCAAUUUCCAACAAUAAUUUGACCGGAGAGAUUCCUUCAUCAUUUUGUAAUUUGAAUUCCAUUCAAUCUUUUGACGUAUCCAACAAUAGCUUGAGUGGACAAAUUCCACAGUGUCUUGGAAACUCUACACUUGACACUUUGGAUUUCCGAAUGAACAACUUCCAAGGUAGCAUCCCACAGGCAUAUGCAAAGGGCUGCAACUUGAUUAAUCUUCAACUGAAUGGCAAUCACUUGGAGGGACCAUUGCCAUCUUUGAUUAACUGUGUGAAUUUGCAAUUUCUUGAUGUUGAGAAUAACAACUUGAGCGGCCCAAUUCCAGAAUAUCUUGGAAACACAACACGUUUGUCAUUUCUUAAUGUUGGGAAUAAUAGCUUGAGCGGCCCAAUUCCGGAAUGUCUUGGAAACUCAACACUUGAAAUCUUAGAUAUGAGAAUGAACAAGUUCAACGGCAGCCUCCCUCAAACAUUUGCAAAAAGUUGUGUUUUGGCAAUUCUUAACCUUAAUGGCAAUCGGUUGGAAGGACCAUUGCCUACAUCUUUGGUUAAUUGUCGAUAUUUGGAAGUUAUAGAUGUUGGGAAUAACAACUUGAGCGGCUCAAUUCCAGAAUGUCUUGGAAACUCAACAGGUUUGUCAUUUCUUGAUGUUGGGAAUAACAACUUGAGCGGCCCAAUUCCAGAAUGUCUUGGAAACUCAACACGUUUGCGAUUUCUUGAUGUUGGGAAUAACAGCUUGAGCGGCCCAAUUCCAGAAUGUCUUGGAAACUCAACACUUGAAGUCUUGGAUAUGAGAAUGAACAAGUUCAACGGCAGCCUCCCUCAAACAUUUGGAAAAAGUUGUGUUUUGGAAAGUCUUAAACUUAAUGGAAAUCGGUUGGAAGGACCAUUGCCUCCAUCUUGGGUUAAUUGUCGACAUUUGGAAGUUAUAGAUGUUGGGAACAAUCAGAUUAAUGGUACCUUUCCCCACUGGUUAGACGUUCUUCCCAAAUUGCAAGUUCUUACAUUGCGUUCUAAUAGAUUUGGUGGUCCCAUUGGUGAUACCAAAACAAGAGUUCCCUUCCCCAAGUUGCGAAUAAUUGAUUGCUCUCACAAUCGACUCACCGGUGUUUUGCCACUACGGUAUUUGGAUAGUUUUAAAGCCAUGAGGCCUGGGAAAAACAAUAGUGUUGAAGUCAAUUAUAUGAGGUUGCCAGAUUCUUCUAAUUACUAU